AUUGAACGCUGGCGGCAGGCCUAACACAUGCAAGUCGAGCGGAUGAAGGGAGCUUGCUCCUGGAUUCAGCGGCGGACGGGUGAGUAAUGCCUAGGAAUCUGCCUGGUAGUGGGGGAUAACGUCCGGAAACGGGCGCUAAUACCGCAUACGUCCUGAGGGAGAAAGUGGGGGAUCUUCGGUCCUCACGCUAUCUUAUGAGCCUAGGUCGGAUUAGCUAGUUGGUGGGGUAAAGUCCUACCAAGGCUACGAUCCGUAACUGGUCUGAGAGGAUGAUCAGUCACACUGGAACUGAGACACGGACCAGACUACUACGGGAGGCAGCAGUGGGGAAUAUUGGACAAUGGGCGAAAGCCUGAUCCAGCCAUGCCGCGUGUGUGAAGAAGGUCUUCGGAGUGUAAAGCACUUUAAGUUGGGAGGAAGGGCAGUAAGUUAAUACCUUGCUGUUUUGACGUUAACAACAGAAUAAGCACCGGCUAACUUCGUG
rnacentral:rRNA from 1 species